rnacentral:rRNA from 1 species
AGGACUAACGCUGGCGGCGUGCCUAACACAUGCAAGUCGAACGGGGUAGCAAUACCCAGUGGCAGACGGGUGAGUAACACGUGGUCAACCUACCUCUGUGUGGGGGAUAACUAGCCGAAAGGUUAGCUAAUACCGCAUACGAUCGUUUUGAGGCAUCUCGAGACGAUGAAAGGAGCAAUCCGCACGGAGAGGGGGACUGCGUCCCAUUAGUUAGUUGGUGGGGUAACGGCCUACCAAGACUCCGAUGGGUAGCUGGCUUGAGAGAGCGACCAGCCACACUGGAACUGAGAAACGGUCCAGACUCCUACGGGAGGCAGCAGUGAGGAAUUUUCCGCAAUGGGCGAAAGCCUGACGGAGCGACGCCGCGUGUGGGAUGAAGGCCUUCGGGUCGUAAACCACUGUCGAAGGGACGAUAAUGACGGUACCCUUGGAGGAAGCCCGGCUAACUACGCGCCAGCAGCCGC